rnacentral:rRNA from 1 species
CACGUAGGGCGCGAGCGUUGUCCGGAAUUAUUGGGCGUAAAGAGCUCGUAGGCGGCCUGUUGCGUCCGCUGUGAAAGCCCGGGGCUUAACCCCGGGUCGGCAGUGGAUACGGGCAGGCUAGAGGUAGGUAGGGGAGAAUGGAAUUCCCGGUGUAGCGGUGAAAUGCGCAGAUAUCGGGAGGAACACCGGUGGCGAAGGCGGCUUUCUGGUCUGUAACUGACGCUGAGGCGCGAAAGCGUGGGGAGCAAACAGG